rnacentral:rRNA from 1 species
AACGAACGCUGGCGGCAUGCCUAACACAUGCAAGUCGAACGAGAACUUCGGGUCUAGUGGCGCACGGGUGCGUAACGCGUGGGAACCUGCCCUUAGGUACGGAAUAACUCCCCGAAAGGGGUGCUAAUACCGGAUAAUUGCUUCUGACCAAAGAUUUAUCGCCCUCGGAUGGGCCCGCGUUGGAUUAGCUAUUUGGUAGGGUAAAAGCCUACAAAGGCGACGAUCCAUAGAUUGUCUGAGAGGCAGAUCAGCCACACUGAGACUGAGCCACGGCCCAGACUCUUACGGGAGGCAGCAGUGGCGAAUGUUGUACAGUGGGCGAAAGGCUGAUCCAGCAAGGCCGCGUGAGUUAUGUAGGCAUUUGGGUUGUAAAGCUAUUUUACCCGGGAUGAUAAUGACAGUACCGGGAGAAUAAGCCACGGCUAACUCCGUG